GAUGAACGCUGGCGGCGUGCCUAAUACAUGCAAGUCGAGCGAAUGGAUUAAGAGCUUGCUCUUAUGAAGUUAGCGGCGGACGGGUGAGUAACACGUGGGUAACCUGCCCAUAAGACUGGGAUAACUCCGGGAAACCGGGGCUAAUACCGGAUAACAUUUUGAACCGCAUGGUUCGAAAUUGAAAGGCGGCUUCGGCUGUCACUUAUGGAUGGACCCGCGUCGCAUUAGCUAGUUGGUGAGGUAACGGCUCACCAAGGCAACGAUGCGUAGCCGACCUGAGAGGGUGAUCGGCCACACUGGGACUGAGACACGGCCCAGACUCCUACGGGAGGCAGCAGUAGGGAAUCUUCCGCAAUGGACGAAAGUCUGACGGAGCAACGCCGCGUGAGUGGUGAAGGCUUUCGGGUCGUAAAACUCUGUUGUUAGGGAAGAACAAGUGCUAGUUGAAUAAGCUGGCACCUUGACGGUACCUAACCAGAAAGCCACGGCUAACUACGUGCCAGCAGCCGCAGUAA
rnacentral:rRNA from 1 species